rnacentral:tRNA from 1 species
UUUUACAAAGCUUAAAGCACUUUGCUGUUAACAAAGAAACGGAAAAUUCCUGUAAAUU